CCUACGGGUGGCAGCAGUAGGGAAUCUUUCACAAUGGGCGAAAGCCUGAACGAGCAACGCCGCGUGCAGGAUGAAGGCCUUCGGGUUGUAAACUGCUUUUAUAAGCGAGAAAUAUGAUGGUAACUUAUGAAUAAGGAUCGGCUAACUACGUGCAAGCAGCCGCGAUCAUACGUAGGAUCCGAGCAUUAUCCGGAGUGACUGGGUGUAAAGAGUUGCGUAGGUGGCAUAAUAAGUAGCUAGUGAAAUCUGGUGGCUCAACCAUUCAGACUAUUAGCUAAACUGUUAAGCUCGAGACCGUUAGGGGUAACUGGAAUGUCUAGUGUAGGAGUGAAAUGCGUAGAUAUUAGAAGGAACACCGAUUGCGUAGGCAGGUUGCUGGGACGGUUCUGACACUGAGGCACGAAAGCGUAGGGAGCAAACGGGAUUAGAUACCCUUGUAGUC
rnacentral:rRNA from 1 species